AUGAAAAUCUUAUCCUGGAAUUGCCAUGGGCUCGGGAACGCCCCGGCAAUUCGUGCUUUGCUGGAUGUCCAGCGAAGAUGUGACCCCGAGGUGAUGUUUUUGUCGGAGACACACCUUGAUACUCAUCCGGCAGAAUGUUUGAGGCGUAGGCUUAAGAUGGACCAAAAAUUGGUUUGUGUUAGUGAUGGUAGAAAGGGUGGAUUAGUGCUCUUCUGGAAAAAUUCGGUUAAAGUGCAUACUUUAGCUCUUGACCCUAUGUACAUUGAUGUAAGGAUUGAAGGCAAUAAUAAUCUUAGUUGGCGUUUGACUGGGAUGUAUGGUGAGUUCAUAUGGGAGAAUAAACACAGAACCUGGACCCGCAUGAGACAAUUGCAUCAAAAUAAUAACUUGUCGUGGCUCCUUCUAGGUGACCUGAAUGAAAUACAAUUUCUUCAUGAGAAGGAGGGGGGAACCCAAGGCCCAUACAAUACGUGCAAGCGUUCCAAGAGGCUAUUGACGACUGUGAACUGCAUGAUAUUGGGUAUACUGGAGAACCAUUUACAUGGUUCAGGGGAAGAAUAA
rnacentral:rRNA from 1 species